GUGCUCGCUUUGGCAGCACAUAUACUAAAAUUGAAACAAUACAGAGAAGAUUUUAUCAUGGCCCCUGCACAAGGAUGACAUGCAAAUUCAUGUAGCAUUCCAUACAUUU